UUGACGGGGCCGCACAAGCGGUGGAGUCAUGUGGUUUAAUUCGAAGCAACGCGAAGAACCUUACCAGGUCUUGACAUCCCGAUGCUAUUUCUAGAGAUAGAAAGUUACUUCGGUACAUCGGUGACAGGUGGUGCAUGGUUGUCGUCAGCUCGUGUCGUGAGAUGUUGGGUUAAGUCCCGCAACGAGCGCAACCCUUAUUGUUAGUUGCCAUCAUUCAGUUUGGGCACUCUAGCGAGACUGCCGGUAAUAAACCGGAGGAAGUGGGGAUGACGUCAAAUCAUCAUGCCCCUUAUGACCUGGGCUACACACGUGCUACAAUGGUUGGUACAACGAGUUGCGAGUCGGUGACGGCGAGCUAAUCUCUUAAAGCCAAUCUCAGUUCGGAUUGUAGGCUGCAACUCGCCUACAUGAAGUCGGAAUCGCUAGUAAUCGCGGAUCAGCACGCCGCGGUGAAUACGUUCCCGGGCCUU
rnacentral:rRNA from 1 species